AUGUUGGGANNNNNNGCUCAGUGCUUUUGCAUCGACUGCCACACCGCAUCCUUUUCAAGCCUCAAGCAUUGCUUUUAUGCUUGUGAGUCGACCGUGUUCCUGUAUCUGAUACCCAUGCCGAAGGAAUUAGGCCCCGGUUCUUUUUUUUCCUCUUGGUGCCCGUCAAGGGCAUCGAGUGGAGCACGUAGUUUGAUCUCUCGAACCUAGCAUGACCGUGUGGUUGCAACGGUUGUCGAAUCAAAGCUCGUGUUGUCGGAUGCGGAAUAUUCGAUGGGUCCGAGGAUCGUAUCCUUGCAUCGCCCUGUGUGGGAAAUCGUCCCUCGAUAAGAACGACAUCCGUUGCGCGUUCCAAAA
rnacentral:misc_RNA from 1 species